UGAGACUAGUGGUGUCUGGGCUCAGACAGGGUGUGUGCAGGUACAGUGGGCACACUGUCCAGGUGAGACUAGUGGUGUCUGGGCUCAGACAGGGUGUGUGCAGGUACAGUGGGCACACUGUCCAGGUGAGAUUAGUGGUGUCUGGGCUCAGACAGGGUGUGUGCAGGUACAGUGGG